rnacentral:rRNA from 1 species
CAGGCGAUACGGNCACGACUAGAGUGCUGUAGGGGUAACUGGAAUUCNUGGUGUAGCGGUGAAAUGCGCAGAUAUCAGGAGGAACACCGAUGGCGAAGGCAGGUUACUGGGCAGUUACUGACGCUGAGGAGCGAAAGCAUGGGGAGCGAACAGGAUUAGAUACCCUGGUAGUCCAUGCUGUAAACGGUGGGCGCUAGGUGUGGGCUGUGUGUUUGCAGUCUGUGCCGUAGCUAACGCAUUAAGCGCCCCGCCUGGGGAGUACGGCCGCAAGGCUAAAACUCAAAGGAAUUGACGGGGGCCCGCACAAGCGGCGGAGCAUGUGGAUUAAUUCGAUGCAACGCGAAGAACCUUACCUGGGUUUGACAUGCACCAGAUCGGCGUAGAGAUACGUUUUCCCUUGUGGUUGGUGCACAGGUGGUGCAUGGUUGUCGUCAGCUCGUGUCGUGAGAUGUUGGGUUAAGUCCCGCAACGAGCGCAACCCUUGUCUUAUGUUGCCAGCACAUUUUUGGUGGGGACUCAUGAGAAACUGCCGGGGUCAACUCGGAGGAAGGUGGGGAUGACGUCAAAUCAUCAUGCCCUUUAUACCCAGGGCUUCACACAUGCUACAAUGGUCGGUACAACGGGUUGCGACCCUGUGAAGUGAAGCUAAUCUCUUAAAGCCGGCCUCAGUUCGGAUUGGGGUCUGCAACUCGACCCCAUGAAGUCGGAGUCGCUAGUAAUCGCAGAUCAGCAACGCUGCGGUGAAUACGUUCCCGGGCCUUGUACACACCGCCCGUCACGUCAUGAAAGUUGGUAACACCCGAAGCCCAUGGCCUAA